CAAGACAACUUUACGGAGUUGACGAUUGACGGAGCGAAGCGACGUCAAAGCGUUCAUUAAAGUCGAGUUGGCUUAGGGAUACGUUCGUUGGGUAGGGGAGCGUUCUGUAAGCCUGUGAAGGUGUGUCGUGAGGCAUGCUGGAGGUAUCAGAAGUGCGAAUGCUGACAUAAGUAACGAUAAAGCGGGUGAAAAGCCCGCUCGCCGGAAGACCAAGGGUUCCUGUCCAACGUUAAUCGGGGCAGGGUGAGUCGACCCCUAAGGCGAGGCCGAAAGGCGUAGUCGAUGGGAAACGGGUUAAUAUUCCCGUACUUGGUGUUACUGCGAAGGGGGGACGGAGAAGGCUAUGUUGGCCGGGCGACGGUUGUCCCGGUUUAAGCGUGUAGGUGUGUGUUCCAGGUAAAUCCGGUUCACUUUAACACUGAGGCGUGACGACGAGGCACUACGGUGCUGAAGCAACAAAUGCCCUGCUUCCAGGAAAAGCCUCUAAGCAUCAGGUAACAUCAAAUCGUACCCCAAACCGACACAGGUGGUCAGGUAGAGAAUACCAAGGCGCUUGAGAGAACUCGGGUGAAGGAACUAGGCAAAAUGGUGCCGUAACUUCGGGAGAAGGCACGCUGACACGUAGGUGAAGUGAUUUACUCAUGGAGCUGAAGUCAGUCGAAGAUACCAGCUGGCUGCAACUGUUUAUUAAAAACACAGCACUGUGCAAACACGAAAGUGGACGUAUACGGUGUGACGCCUGCCCGGUGCCGGAAGGUUAAUUGAUGGGGUCAGCGCAAGCGAAGCUCCUGAUCGAAGCCCCGGUAAACGGCGGCCGUAACUAUAACGGUCCUAAGGUAGCGAAAUUCCUUGUCGGGUAAGUUCCGACCUGCACGAAUGGCGUAAUGAUGGCCAGGCUGUCUCCACCCGAGACUCAGUGAAAUUGAACUCGCUGUGAAGAUGCAGUGUACCCGCGGCAAGACGGAAAGACCCCGUGAACCUUUACUAUAGCUUGACACUGAACAUUGAGCCUUGAUGUGUAGGAUAGGUGGGAGGCUUUGAAGUGUGGACGCCAGUCUGCAUGGAGCCGACCUUGAAAUACCACCCUUUAAUGUUUGAUGUUCUAACGUGGACCCGUAAUCCGGGUUGCGGACAGUGUCUGGUGGGUAGUUUGACUGGGGCGGUCUCCUCCUAAAGAGUAACGGAGGAGCACGAAGGUUGGCUAAUCCUGGUCGGACAUCAGGAGGUUAGUGCAAUGGCAUAAGCCAGCUUGACUGCGAGCGUGACGGCGCGAGCAGGUGCGAAAGCAGGUCAUAGUGAUCCGGUGGUUCUGAAUGGAAGGGCCAUCGCUCAACGGAUAAAAGGUACUCCGGGGAUAACAGGCUGAUACCGCCCAAGAGUUCAUAUCGACGGCGGUGUUUGGCACCUCGAUGUCGGCUCAUCACAUCCUGGGGCUGAAGUAGGUCCCAAGGGUAUGGCUGUUCGCCAUUUAAAGUGGUACGCGAGCUGGGUUUAGAACGUCGUGAGACAGUUCGGUCCCUAUCUGCCGUGGGCGCUGGAGAACUGAGGGGGGCUGCUCCUAGUACGAGAGGACCGGAGUGGACGCAUCACUGGUGUUCGGGUUGUCAUGCCAAUGGCACUGCCCGGUAGCUAAAUGCGGAAGAGAUAAGUGCUGAAAGCAUCUAAGCACGAAACUUGCCCCGA
rnacentral:rRNA from 3 species